UAGGGAAUCUUCGGCAAUGGACGAAAGUCUGACCGAGCAACGCCGCGUGAGUGAAGAAGGUUUUCGGAUCGUAAAACUCUGUUGUUAGAGAAGAACAAGGACGUUAGUAACUGAACGUCCCCUGACGGUAUCUAACCAGAAAGCCACGGCUAACUACGUGCCAGCAGCCGCGGUAAUACGUAGGUGGCAAGCGUUGUCCGGAUUUAUUGGGCGUAAAGCGAGCGCAGGCGGUUUCUUAAGUCUGAUGUGAAAGCCCCCGGCUCAACCGGGGAGGGACAUUGGAAACUGGGAGACUUGAGUGCAGAAGAGGAGAGUGGAAUUCCAUGUGUAGCGGUGAAAUGAGUAGAUAUAUGGAGGAACACCAGUGGCGAAGGCGGCUCUCUGGUCUGUAACUGACGCUGAGGCUCGAAAGCGUGGGGAGCAAACAGG
rnacentral:rRNA from 1 species